AUACUUACCCUGGGCAGGAGAUACACUAAGAUCAUGAAGGCUAUUCACCCAGGGCGAGAGGCUCAGCCACUGCACUGAAGCUGUGCUGACCUCGGUGCGACUCCCUGCAAACAAACCUUAAUGCACAAUCUGUGGUAGUGGGGACUAAAGGUCCGCCUCUCCUGA